UGUGAGACUAAGAUCGCCCAGGAGAUAGCCAGCCUCUAAAGAAGACGUUUCUAAAGAAGAGAUGACUGAGAAUGAAGAAGAAGUGGUCAACAUACUGCUGGCACAGGAGAAUGAGAUCCUGACAGAGCAGGAGGAGCUGAUAUCUCUGGAGCAGGGUGUUGAGGAGACAGAUCGCUACAGAGAAGGAGGAGAUCGAGAGACUGAGGGCCGAGAUCGCUGACAUACAGAGUCGUCAACAGGGUCGCAGUGAGACAGAGGAGUACUCUUCAGACAGCGAGAGUGAGAGCGAAGACGAGGAGGAACUACAGAUGAUCCUGAAGAGCUGCACAAACAGAACGAA